UAUGCAUUUACCCGAGAAAACCAAAAGGUGUGUAAAAAGGAUUAACGUUUUUGUUUAGAUUACUAUUACUGCAGCAGCCCAUUUUUCAAUUAGGAUGAAUUAAGCGUGAUGGAAGUCUUGCAAGAACAUGGUGAUGGAAGACGUAUGAUUGUUGAAUACUUGGCAAGAAACAAAGAAUUUAUUACAAGUGAAGAAAGAAUAAUAAUUAUUCAAAUCUUGUGUGAUCAUUUUGUUAAAACUGAUUCUUUGAAGUAUUUCCCCUCAACAUCUACUCAACACCUUUGGGCUGAAGCCCUAGUGAAGAGUUUUCCAUGCUUAGGGACCAAAGUCACUGACGUCGAAGGGAAAGUUACCAUGAACCAUGACAUAUACUUCCAUCCUAAAGCCAUAGGCUUCAUGAGGACAAAUUACAAGAAAUGCGUAGAAGCAAAGGAGUAAGAAAGAGGAAACAAAACCAAACACCAGAUGUUCCUAAUGAGAAAAAGGCCAGAAUAAAGCAAAAAAAAAUUUAAAUGCCUGUCAAGGGAAGUAAGGUGAUGAUCGAUGAAUCAAUUAUGGUGUCCAUGGUACAAUUUUUCUUUACUUUUAACUGUCAGUCAAUGGAUAAUAUUUUUUGAAAUCUGUGGCUUGGUAUCUUGGCUGAAGGUGCACGGUCCUUCUGUUACAAACAAGACCAAAAUCCAUGACUAUUUGGAGAACACGUUUCAUUUUCCGGGAAAAACAGAUUUCUGAACACUUCACCUGUGCGUCUCAGGUGUUUGAAGAAUAUCCACGCUAUGUGGACUUUGAAGAUGGAUCACUGAUUUUGCACGAUUUCCAUCGUAAAUAUAAAGGGAUGCACUCUGGCCUGGAGACGUGGUUCUUCGGACGAUUCCACUCGUCUUUACUUGGACUAGCCGAAAGGCAAAAAGUAGACGUGCCAAAAUCUACUGACGAAUCCCUCAGAUCAUUAGUUUGUUUCUGAAAGUAAUGCCCAGCGUAUGCAGGGUAAAGAAGGCAGAUUUCUCGUCCAAACUUGGUCGUCUUUUCUACUUCGUCAAGGAAAAUUCUCUCAAUUAAACCAUUGUGGAAUCCAAAGAUGAGAUAUUCCACCAACAGCCAUUCCUGUAUCAAUGGAUCACCCCUUGUCUUUCCAUCUGGUAAUAGACAAAACCGUCAUUCCAGCAAGGGCCUUUCAUGUUCUUUUUGCAACUUUUUUUAUUUUUCGUUUGUAAUAUCCCCAGUACUUAGAUAAGUUUUUUCUUUUUUUUUUGAGCAAUUUGUUUUUCAAAUUGGAAAAAACGGGAUAAACGCUUCCAAUCAGGAAUUUGCUAACUGCCUCGAUAACAUUGCCACAGCCCAGUCCCUCGACGAAAAUAACGUUGUUGCAUCUUGAUCUUUACGUUGUGUUGUGGACACUGUUUCGUAAGUUGU